UCCAUCUCCAUCCUGGGUCCUCAUCCCAUCCCCAUUCCCAUUCCCAUCCUGGCUCAUCCUGGUGCCUGUCCUCAUCUCCAUCUCCAUCCUGGGUCCUCAUCCCAUCCCAUCCCCAUUCCCAUCCUGGAUCAUCCUGGUGCCUGUCCUCAGUUCCAUCUCCAUCCUGGGUCCCCAUCCUGUCCCUAUCCCCAUCUCCACCCCCAACCCUGUCCCCAUCCCUGUCCCCAUCCCUGUCCCCAUCCCUGUCCCCAUCCCUGUCCCCAUCCCAUGCCCGGUUGAUCCAGCCCCUGGAAAAUCCCUGCCUCGCUUUUUCCACCCGGUGCUGGUGAGGGAGGUGUUGGUGGCCAGAGGGAAUGAGGGAGGGGAAGGCUCCUGUGGUCCCAUCCUUGGGGAUCCCAGACCCCUGGAUAACCCAGAUGGAGCACCCCAGAGUGGGAUAAUCCAGGCAGGCACCACCACGAGCUCCUUCUGCCCUACAGGAGCCAGGGAGAAGCUCAGGAAGGACCAGCCUGAGGGACGACCCCAAGGAAAAGUGCCCUCCCUGCUCACCCCAGGCGGCAUCAGGAAAUGUGAGUGUGGCACUGGACACGGGGACCCCAAGCUGGCCAGGCUGGGCUGUGAACUGCGGGUGGC
rnacentral:lncRNA from 1 species